AAUCAACGCUGGCGGCGUGCCUCAGACAUGCAAGUCGAACGAUUAAGACUCUCUUCGGAGAGUGUAUAAAGUGGCGCACGGGUGAGUAACACGUAGGUAAUGUACCGUAGGGUGGGGAAUAACUUAGGGAAACUUAAGCUAAUACCGCAUAAUGCAGCGGCUCGACAUCGAGACAGUUGUUAAAGGAGUAAUCCGCCAUAUGAGCAGCCUGCGGCAGAUUAGCUAGUUGGUAAGGUAAUGGCUUACCAAGGCUACGAUCUGUAACCGACCUGAGAGGGUGGUCGGUCACACUGACACUGAAUAACGGGUCAGACUCCUACGGGAGGCAGCAGUCGGGAAUUUUGGGCAAUGGGCGAAAGCCUGACCCAGCAACGCCGCGUGAAGGAUGAAGUCUCUCGGGAUGUAAACUUCGUAAGAAUAGGAAGAAUAAAUGACGGUACUAUUUGUAAGGUCCGGCUAACUACGUG
rnacentral:rRNA from 1 species